UUACCAUGGUAAGGACUUAUUCUGAGCAACUCCUUAAAUUUUCCCAAGCCUCAUACAAACUUUCAUCUUUAAGUUGAUGAAAAGAGGUGAUUUCGUUCCGUAGUUU
rnacentral:snoRNA from 1 species